AUUGAACGCUGGCGGCAGGCCUAACACAUGCAAGUCGAGCGGAGCGGCGGACGGGUGAGUAAUGCCUAGGAAUCUGCCUGGUAGUGGGGGAUAACGUCCGGAAACGGGCGCUAAUACCGCAUACUAUCAGAUGAGCCUAGGUCGGAUUAGCUAGUUGGUGGGGUAAAGGCCUACCAAGGCGACGAUCCGUAACUGGUCUGGAGCAUACGAUAGGGUUACGGCCAUGGCGAAACGGCCCAGACUCCUACGGGAGGCAGCAGUGGGGAAUAUUGGGCAAUGGGCGCAAGCCUGACCCAGCAACGCCGCGUGAAGGAAGACGGUCUUCGGAUUGUAAACUUCUUUCGCUAUCGAACGGGUAGGUGGAGAAGAAGCGCCGGCUAACUACGUGCCAGCAGCCGCGGUAAUAC
rnacentral:rRNA from 1 species